rnacentral:rRNA from 1 species
UACGUAGGGGGCAAGCGUUGUCCGGAUUUAUUGGGCGUAAAGAGCGUGUAGGCGGCUUCACAGGUCCGCUGUGAAAACUCGAGGCUCAACCUCGAGCUGUCGGUGGAAACCGUGUGGCUAGAGUCCGGAAGAGGAGAGUGGAAUUCCCGGUGUAGCGGUGAAAUGCGUAGAUAUCAGGAGGAACACCUGUGGCGAAAGCGGCUCACUGGACCAUAACUGACGCUGAUGCACGAAAGCUAGGGGAGCAAACAGG